rnacentral:rRNA from 1 species
GGAUUCCCCUAGUAACUGCGAGUGAAGCGGGAAAAGCUCAAAUUUAAAAUCUGGCGGUCUUUGGCCGUCCGAGUUGUAGUCUGGAGAAGUGCUUUCCGCGCUGGACCGUGUAUAAGUCUCUUGGAACAGAGCGUCAUAUAGGGUGAGAAUCCCGUCUUUGACACGGACUACCAGUGCUUUGUGAUGCGCUCUCAAAGAGUCGAGUUGUUUGGGAAUGCAGCUCAAAAUGGGUGGUGAAUUCCAUCUAAAGCUAAAUAUUGGCGAGAGACCGAUAGCGAACAAGUACCGUGAGGGAAAGAUGAAAAGCACUUUGGAAAGAGAGUUAAACAGUACGUGAAAUUGCUGAAAGGGAAACGCUUGAAGUCAGUCGCGUCUGCCGGAACUCAGCCUUCCUUUUGGUUGGUGCACUUUCCGGUAGACGGGCCAGCAUCGAUUUCGACCGUCGGAUAAGGGCUGGGGAAAUGUGGCACCUUCGGGUGUGUUAUAGUCCUCAGUCGCAUACGGCGGUUGGGAUCGAGGAACGCAGCGCGCCGCAAGGCAGGGGUUCGCCCACUUUCGCGCUUAGGAUGCUGGCAUAAUGGCUUUAAACGACCCGUCUUGAAACACGGACCAAGGAGUCUAACAAACCUGCGAGUGUUUGGGUGGAAAACCCGAGCGCGUAAUGAAAGUGAAAG